AUUGAACGCUGGCGGCAGGCCUAACACAUGCAAGUCGAACGAGUGGCGGACGGGUGAGUAAUGCUUGGGAAUCUAGCUUAUGGAGGGGGAUAACUACGGGAAACUGUAGCUAAUACCGCGUACCAUAGGAUGCGCCCAAGUGGGAUUAGGUAGUUGGUGAGGUAAAGGCUCACCAAGCCGACGAUCUCUAGCUGGUCUGAGAGGAUGACCAGCCACACUGGGACUUGGACACGGCCCAGACUCCUACGGAAGGCAGCAGUGGGGAAUAUUGCACAAUGGGGGCAACCCUGAUGCAGCCAUGCCGCGUGUAUGAAGAAGGCCUUCGGGUUGUAAAGCACUUUCAGCGAGGAGGCGUUACCCGCAGAAGAAGCACCGGCUAACUCCGUGCCAGCAGCCGCGGUAAUUC
rnacentral:rRNA from 1 species